rnacentral:rRNA from 1 species
CCAGACUCCUACGGGAGGCAGCAGUGAGGAAUAUUGGUCAAUGGGCGGGAGCCUGAACCAGCCAAGUCGCGUGAGGGAUGACGGCCCUAUGGGUUGUAAACCUCUUUUGCCGGGGAGCAAAGUGCCGCACGUGUGCGGUUUGGAGAGUACCCGGAGAAAAAGCAUCGGCUAACUCCGUGCCAGCAGCCGCGGUAAUACGGAGGAUGCGAGCGCUAUCCGGAUUUAUUGGGUUUAAAGGGUGCGUAGGCGGACGCUUAAGUCAGGGGUAAAUUUGCGGGGCUCAACCGCGUCGAGCCGUUGAAACUGGCGUUCUUGAGUGGAAGAGAAGUAUGCGGAAUGCGUGGUGUAGCGGUGAAAUGCAUAGAUAUCACGCAGAACCCCGAUUGCGAAGGCAGCAUGCCGGCUUCCGACUGACGCUGAAGCACGAAAGCGUGGGGAUCGAACAGGAUUAGAUACCCUAGUAAAG